AGGACGAACGCUGGCGGCGUGCUUAACACAUGCAAGUCGAGCGAGGGCCAUCCAGUGGCAACACUGGUGAAGCCCGAGCGGCGAACGGGUGAGUAACACGUGAGGAACCUGCCCCAGACUCUGGGAUAACUCGGGGAAACCCGAGCUAAUACCGGAUACCGUCUCCUUUGGGCAUCCUUUGGAGACGAAAGAAUUUCGGUUUGGGAGGGCCUCGCGGCCUAUCAGCUUGUUGGUGAGGUAAUGGCUCACCAAGGCGGUGACGGGUA
rnacentral:rRNA from 1 species